rnacentral:sRNA from 1 species
CCGGCCGCGGCUGAGUCUUCCCAGGGUCAGGGUCGGGCGCUUUGCUGAGUCCCUUUGUGGCCGCCAUGGACAAUUCCGGGAAGGAAGCGGAGGCGAUGGCGCUGUUGGCCGAGGCGGAGCGCAAAGUGAAGAACUCGCAGUCCUUCUUCUCUGGCCUCUUUGGGUGAAUAAAUGUGUAUGUGAAUGGCUUCUUCAGGAUCUUCCACUGGAACCUAGGCACGUCACUUUCCCCCUUUGGGGACUUCACUCCCAUUUCUAAAAGAAGAGGAUGGGACCCUGGAGAUCUGUCAUCCCCUGGCCAUGAGGCUCAUCCAAAAUAGAGGAAGCAUGCGAAAUCUACGCCAGAGCAGCAAACAUGUUCAAAAUGGCCAAAAACUGGAGUGCUGCUGGAAACGCGUUCUGCCAGGCUGCACAGCUGCACCUGCAGCUCCAGAGCAAGCACGACGCAGCCACCUGCUUUGUGGACGCUGGCAACGCAUUCAAGAAAGCCGACCCCCAAGAGGCCAUUAACUGUUUGAUGCGAGCAAUCGAGAUCUACACAGACAUGGGCCGAUUCACGAUUGCGGCCAAGCACCACAUCUCCAUUGCUGAGAUCUAUGAGACGGAGUUGGUGGACAUCGAGAAGGCCAUUGCCCACUACGAGCAGUCCGCAGACUACUACAAAGGCGAGGAGUCCAACAGGUAGCCCCCUUCCUGCCUGCCCCAGCCCCGCAGGGACCGCCACCACUUCCCCUCACUACUCCUCCCCACACAGCUCAGCCAACAAGUGUCUGCUGAAGGUGGCUGGUUACGCCGCGCUGCUGGAGCAGUAUCAGAAGGCCAUUGACAUCUACGAACAGGUGGGGACAGG